CCUACGGGGGGCAGCAGUGGGGAAUAUUGCACAAUGGGGGGAACCCUGAUGCAGCGACGCCGCGUGAGUGAAGAAGUAUUUCGGUAUGUAAAGCUCUAUCAGCAGGGAAGAAGAUGACGGUACCUGACUAAGAAGCCCCGGCUAACUACGUGCCAGCAGCCGCGGUAAUACGUAGGGGGCAAGCGUUAUCCGGAUUUACUGGGUGUAAAGGGAGCGUAGACGGCAGGGCAGGUCUGGAGUGAAAGCCCGGGGCCCAACCCCCGGACUGCGCUGGAAACUGUGUAACUGGAGUGCAGGAGAGGCAG
rnacentral:rRNA from 1 species